AAAUUCUCUGCUGUUGGGGAGGAAAAAUUUUGCUCCACCCUUCAAGGCUCUUCUAGCUGGUCUAAGAAUCGAAUCGGCAUGAGAAAGACGAACAGGAGAAGAGCAAAGGUUGAGUGCCCAGCGAUGGAGACCCACAGGCACGAGGUCCAGAGACAGUCAGGGACAACCAGGCACUUGCCGAAAAACGUCUGAUACUCAGUUGCUCUUCUCCACCCAAAAGUGCAACUUUAUCAAUUCCGUUAACUAAGAUCCAGUCUUUCCUGCCACUCCGUGAACUAAAGGGGCGCCUGGGGUCUCACAGCAGCAGCCAGAGAGCAACGGGAGGCAGCAGUCGCAGGGCCCAGGAGGAGGCUCCCCCGUGGGACGAGGCGCUCUUCCUGGAGUGAAGGUGUGCGUGGUCUCCUGAACUGUGAUUACUGCAUCACAUGGUGCAUUAUGAAUUCUUCCAAGGCUCUUGAUUUAUGUUUUUGGGUCACGUGGCGGAACGUCCUGAUGUGUGUCCCCAGCAGUGGGACCGAGGACUCUGAGUCCGGCCUGCAGCCGUGCUCUGCCCCGGCGCUGCUGGGGGCUCACACUUGGAUCAGCAAAAAAGAGGGAGAUGGGGAGAGGGCGGCCUUCUACUUUUCAUCAUUCUGCCUAUUGGCUGGUUUGAACACUGAAAAUGCAUUCACUGGCCUUUUCUUUUUCCAUAAAUUGUAUCUUCCUGACCUUUGACUCUUUUAUAUUGAAUUUAAAUCUUUUUUAUCACCGAUUUGUAAAGCCUCUUUAUAUAAGACUGUUGACCCACGUUUGCCACACUUACGGUACAUUUCCCCCUGGUUUACUAUUUGCAUUUUACGUUUUUAAUAGUAUUUCAUAUUUACAGGGGCAUAAAUCUACCAAUGUUCUCCCUUUCGCUUUCCUUCCAUUAUUUUUAUAUUCAGAAAGAUCUUUGUCCAUUCAAAAAUCAGAAAUUUGCCCAUAUUUUCUACUGUUAACAUCUGCCUCUGUCCUGCUUCUCCUCAGUAACCGA